rnacentral:rRNA from 1 species
GGUGACCUAGCAUCAGCUAUGGAUCAAG